GCAUAGCUCCAAAGAUCCAUGGUGAAGAAUAGUCUGAAGGCUUAGCAGUGAGCACAAUGGUGGCAACGUAAAACGUCCUACGUGGCUGUUGUUUAACUUUUUCUUUUUUCUUUUCUUUUUUUUUUUUUUUUUUUGAUUUGGUUUUUCUGAGACAGGGUUUCUCUGUAUAGUCCUGGCUAUCCUGGAACUCACUCUGUAGACCAGGCUGGCCUCAAACUCAGAAAUCCGCCUGCCUCUGCCUCCCAGAGUGCUAGGAUUAUAGGCGGUCUGACUUUGUUGUUUAAUUUUUAAACUACUACAUUCCACCCACACUGCAGGAGGAGGGAGAGCAGAACAGAAAACACAGGAGUCAGUCUAGGUGUGACUCCGAGGUAAGUCAGUCUAGGUGUGACUCUGAGGUAAGUCAGUCUAGGUGUGACUCCGAGGUAAGUCAGUCUAGGUGUGACUCCGAGGUAAGUCAGUCUAGGUGUGACUCUGAGGUAAGGUACUUGGGUGUGAAUCCCAAGUUACUUCCACUGAUCUUAACCACUUCCUCGUCCUGGGAUUUACUUACCUAGUAGGAUCAGUGUAACAUAAAAACACAAAACACAAAACAAACAAAACCCCCACAUAGUUGAGCAGUUGGCACACGUUAGUUAGUGUUCAGCGAGUCACAACUGCCUUGUUUCCAAUAAGGUCACACUCUGAGCUUCUGGGUAGACAUGAAUCCUCAAAACGCAUGAUUCAAUCCACUACAAUUGCCAAAUCUAAAUAAAACUAC